GCAGCCAAGGAGGAAGGAGCUCUCCGUCAUGGAAGAGAGGAGAAGCCUGGGGCAGGAGCAACGUCUGACACUGCUGCAGGAUGAAGAAGCCCUGACUUACCAAUGCAGCCCAGCCUGCCCAGGCUCAGAAAAUCUCUUGUGAUUUGGUGGAGCACAUCAACUAAUCAGGUCCAGCAACAGUCUGGAGGCAGAGCUUCUGGAGUGAAUAAAAGGAGCAGUGUGUCCAGCAUACAGCAGACAUGUCAAGGGACUAAGAGAGUGGGGCAAAGAAGAGCUGGUGUGAGCAGGCCAGCGGGGCAGUUCUAAUUGCCCUGAAGACUCAUCUUGUUGGCCCUGGAGGGGUGGAUGGCAUCUAUCCCUGCCAGUGCACAGAGCAGCACAUGGGGAGAGACUCUGGGAGCUGCGUGAAGCAGCUCAGGUCUUCAGCCACUUCGUGCAUGCAGUGGUAUGUGGAACCCAGACCCUGGGAGAGGCAUGAGGCUGCUUGGGUCUGUAACCCCUGGCAUGCAGCCAGGGAAACUGGUGCAGACAACACUGCAUGGAGAGUCCUCAUGGACCAAGACCCUGGGAGACACACAAGGUGGCUCAGGUCCAUCCUUUCCUGGCAUGAAGCCAGGAUGCCCGUGCUUGUUUGGUGCAUAGCUGGUCCCAAGUGGGGACCUGGGCCUCGGAGCCGCAGAAGGCGGCCCAAACCCCCCAACAGCAAACAAUGUGCAGAGCCCUUGGUGCUGAGAGUGGGGCACAGACAGUGUGUGGAUAGGCAGCCCUGCAAGAGCCAGAGGCCUGUGUGUGCAUCAGUGGGAGGAACCCCUGGCUGGGGUGAUAUGGACCCCACCUUGCACAAAGGAGCUUGGAGGGGAUUAACAGACUUAGAGAAGGGGUCCAGUCAGGACCAAGAGGGGCUGGGAGCAUUGGGACUCCUUCUUCCCUUCCCCACCCCUUUGGGAGUGGUGUUAAGGCUCCCAGGGUGACACCACGGAGUUGGUACUCACAGGGGUGGUGACACUGUACAGUAUCUGUGCACCUCAUAUUUUGUAUUUUAAUGUGAUGUUAUUUAAUCCUUGUAUCUGGUGUGUAUAUAUAGGUACCUGUUCUAUUGAAUUCCUUGUUAGUACUCUUCUUGUAGUUUAAUAAAAUUCAUUUCCAAUUGCCUAUAUUUUAACUGUUUUAUGGACUUACCUGUUUCAGACCGGUUGCUUACCUGUGCUGGGCCCUGGACCCAUGGCUGGCAAUGAAAUCUUUUGGACACUAAUUGUAGAAUGUAAUUUCCUAUGUAGAACAUAUAUUGUAUAUAUUUAAUAAUAAUUCCCAAUAUUCUGUUGGGAUUUUGUAUAUAUUUAUCAUUGUAUAUUAAAUACAUCUGUGUAUAGUUAAGCCAGUUUUUGUGCUGGCCUGACUCUAUAGAGGAUAGGGGGAUCUGGGCAAUAACACAGAUCCGUCUCUGCCUGGCCUCCCAUCCUUGCUAAUGGGAGAACAGAUCACAGAAUUGGGUGCACCUGGGUUACACUAUUGUAUAGGAACACUAGGGCAAGAAGAAUUACCACUCUGUCAGAGGCAGAAGGAGACAUUAUUGUGUUGGGUGCCCAGGGCAUUGUCUGCUAGGAAUGGGGAAAUCUCCUCUGUAGCAAAGGCACCUGAGAGAAGUGACACAUCAGCCAGAGGAACACCAGAUGCUCCAGUGAGAAAUUUCUAGAGGAUUUGGAUGACUCAUACACAAGUAGAAUAAUGAUGAUUGGGGUGGGGAGUAGCUGACCCACACAU